GGAGCAAACGAAGUGAAGCAUGUUAUUUAAUACGAAAGUACGCGUAAAAUCUUACCAGUUCUUGCAUAGCCAAUCCCUCUUAUUUUUAUAAUAAACUACUCUCUUCUUAUCCAUAGGAGGGAGGAGAAGAUUUUUAAAUUUAAGACUGGAUUGAGUGAUAAUUAUUUAUUAAUAAAUUUUAUUAGCUUUAAAAUAGUGUAAGAAUAUUUAUUUAUAUUAAUUUAUCCGUUUACAGGUGUUGCAUG
rnacentral:rRNA from 1 species